rnacentral:rRNA from 1 species
CCUACGGGUGGCAGCAGUAGGGAAUAUUGCUCAAUGGGGGAAACCCUGAAGCAGCAACGCCGCGUGGAGGAUGAAGGUUUUCGGAUUGUAAACUCCUUUUGUUAGAGAAGAUAAUGACGGUAUCUAACGAAUAAGCACCGGCUAACUCCGUGCCAGCAGCCGCGGUAAUACGGAGGGUGCAAGCGUUACUCGGAAUCACUGGGCGUAAAGAGCGCGUAGGCGGGUUAGCAAGUCAGAGGUGAAAUCCUAUGGCUUAACCAUAGAACUGCAGUUGAAACUGUUAUUCUAGAGUAUGGGAGAGGUAGGUGGAAUGCUUGGUGUAGGGGUAAAAUGCGUAGAGAUCAAGAGGAAUACUCAUUGCGAAGGCGACCUGCUAGAACAUAACUGACGCUGAUGCGCGAAAGCGUGGGGAGCAAACAGGAUUAGAUACCCCUGUAGUC